AAACCCAUUUAGCCUUCUUUCAGAAAACCCUUCUUCCCUCUACUUCAACAAAGAUCGAGCUCUUUCACAAGACUUCUGGAAAAGUUCUCAGGCAAAAUAACAACCUUCUGGUGAACGAGGAACUCUCUGGCAAAGCUCCAGUGGUCCUCUUUGAUUACAACUUUUCCUACAAUGUGAAGCUCCAGUGGUCUUUUGCAUAUAAGGUUACUAUUUUUUAAGUUUUCCCUAUUUGUCCACGAUUUCAGAACUCCCAAAUACUAUUUUGCAAAAUCAGAAAGUCCAUUGAAUGAUUUUUGAAAAAUCUUAAAGAAUAGCAUAUGGGUUUGUCUGAAAUCUAUGGGUCUGAAAUCUAUGUUAUUUGUUCUAAUUUAGGUAUGCCAUAAAAUCUAUUUGUGAUUUAGAGCUUGUAUUUCAAGUUUUGAUAACUCUGUACGAAAAGUAUUUGAGAGGAUGGGUUUUAAUUUUAUGACUCAAAUUCUGAUUUGUUGUUGAUUUUCUACUUAAGUUUUGAGAAUUUUGAUUUCUGUUUUGAGUUAGGUAUAUCAAUGUGAACUGAAAUUCUUUGUUGGUUUAAAGUUUGAAAGUAUUUUGCUGUACUUAGGCUUUUUCAGAUUUUGUUCUCCCUCUUGCUUUUGAUCAAAUUUUCUUGUUUAGGCUGCCAGAAAAAGUGAAUUUUCGUAAUUCUUCUGUAAUAUUUGGGCAUUUCAUUUUGUGGGUAUUCCUAAUACAAAACGAUAUAUCAAGUAGAACUGUCAAAAGGGUAAAUUUUUUAUUUUGCUAUCCCUAGCCUAAUCCACAACCUGUUAAGAGCUAGUUAUGGAGUAGGAGUGACCACUAAAAAAGCUCUUCUUGAUUGUAUUUUCAAGGUGGCAUUGAGGUAACCUGAAUCAGUUCUUCUUAUUUCUUCUUUCAGUUUCACACCCAUUCCAAAAGAUUCAAUUUUUUAUACUGGAGUUAUACUAUGGAGCUCUUCUUGAUUGUGUUUCUAUUGAGGCAUUGAGGCAACCAGAAUUGGGUCUUCUUGUUUCUUCCUUUUUGGUUAAUACAUUUUUUCAUGUGGAGUUGUAGAACCUGAAUUGGGUCUUCUUUCUUUCUUCCUUUGGGUCACACCCAUUUCAAAAGAUACAAUUUUUCAUGGGGAAAGCGCAGUAAAUAGAUCUUCUUGACUGUGUUUUAAUGGUGGAUUUGCAUUAAAAAGCUCUUCUUGAUUGUGUUUUUAUGAUGACAUUGAGGUAACCUUAAUUGGGUCUUCUUGUUUCUUCCUUUUGGUUCACAUCCAUUUCAAAAGUAGUAAUUUUUCAUGGUGGAGUUGCACUUCUAGUUGUUCUUCAUUGUAUUUUUGUGGUGUCAUUGAAGUAACCUAAAUUGGGACUUCUUGUUUCUUUCUUUUGGUUCAUACCCAUUUCAAAAGUUUCAAUUUUUCAUGAAAGUUCAAAUGUGUUGUUCUAACCAAUCGGUGAAAAUUCAAUUCAAUUGGAUUGAGGUUAAAGCUUGUGGCUAAAUUUUUUAUUAAGUUUCUGAGUUUAUGCUUGCUAUGUAAUACUAAUAUAAAAACAUUCAUGUCUCACAAUAUGAAUGAAAAUCCAUUGUUGGUUGGAAGCAUCUUUUGACCUCUCGAUACUACACGUCUUCCUUGAUCACCAGGUAACGUAUCCAUUUAUAUUUGUUUGAACUUUAUAAAAGAACAGUAAGUGCAACUGUAGAAGCAAAAAGAAAUUAACAUCAUCCAAACUGUAGAAAGAAUACAAACAUCUCAAUCAUGUUUCAACCUACGAUAAUAAAUGUUGAAUAAUUGGAAAGGACCAUUCAUAUGAUCAGGUGUCAUGAGAAGAGACAACCAGUAAUUGAUGGAUAGUUAGGCUUAUGCACCAUAAUUCCUUGACUUGAAGUUAUUCACUCUUGAGUUGCAAUUAUUAAGCAAAUCAUGUAAUACAUACCCAGUGAAUAAUCUUAUUAGGACUUACAUAUGAUGUUAAAGUUCAAUUAGAAGGGUAGAAUAACAUAAAUAAUUUUCUAUCAUGAAAUAACAAGUCAUACAAAUAUUUAUUUCAUAGUUAAGAUCCUGAAUGAACUCUCUAUCCUUUACCUGCUUGGCCAACAGAUCAUUCAAUUUUUUUUUCCUUUUUUUCCUCUUUAACAUAUGAUUACAUGAGAUUUGUUUAAUCAAGUUUGCACAUGAAAUCUUGUGUAGCCUGUCUUGUUAUCCUAUUGUCUUCUUUGUUACUUGUCAAACCUUGAUCAAUAUGUGAUUAUUUUUUAUUUUAGCGACAAAUUUUAGUUUUGUAUGAUGCUCCUAUGUUCUAUGUUCUAUGUUCUAUAUGUAUAAUGUAUUACCUUAAUGUUUUUGAGGUAGAUCAAAUAAAAAGUGUUAAGUUAUGUUAUCUUGUCCUCAAUGCUUUUAAAAAAUAAAACUUGAAGUUAUAAUGACGUGAAUUUCUUAUUUUGUGGUAGGUAUUUUGGGCAAGAGUCAAGACUUAUUGUUUCAACAAUAUGUUUGUAUACAAUCCAAAGCUAACUAGAUAGCGUAGAAUGUUGGAAUACUAGCUUUCUAUAGCUAGUUUUGUUUUUGAUUCUUUGCCAUCCAUUUGUCCAAAGCUUCUUAAAUGGUAGAGGCUAUUAUAACACUUAACUUCUCAAUAUUUGUUGUGUUGUACUAUUAACACUGCCAUGUUUGGUGUUCAAUUAAUGUAGAGGUUUGAGAUUUAAUUAAUAAUUCAAGAUAAUCUGAAACUUUGAAAGGUUAAGUUCCCCGGAUAUUGCACAUGUACUCAUUAAUUUGUUGGCUAUAAUGUUUUGCUCAUGCCAGGUAGGAUAUUGGAGAUAAAAGUUGGAUAGAUCUCCGAAGAUCCACCAAUGAAUAUAUUCAUGGAGUUAAUGAUUUUCUUGAUAAGGCAUUUGAAUGAGCUUCUCAAGGAAAUGAAAUAUUAUGCCCUUGUAAGAAGUACUUUAAUCGUAAUUAGUAUUGUCAAAAUGUGGUGGAGGAUCACUUGAUUUUUCAUGGAUUUGUGUAUGGAUAUACCAAAUGGGGUUUUCCAUGGAGAAGGGUUUUCCUCAAGAAAUACGCCUCAUCCAACCAAUGAUGAUGAAACUUCGAACAUGCAUGAAGAUAUUGAUAAACUACUUCAUGAUACUUUUCAAAAUGUAGAAGAUGAUCUAAGGCAUAAAGGAGCGUGAGAGGGACAAUUUGAAGAUGCGUGUUUUUUUAAAAAAAUUAGUGGAGGACGGAAAACAAGAGUUGUAUCCAGGGUGUAAAAUUUUUUCUAAGUUGAGUUUUAUCAUCCGGUUAUACUUAAUUAAAUGCAUUCACAGAUUGAGUGAUAUGGCCUUUUUAGACUUGUUAGACUUGAUGAAAGAGGCAUUUCCAUUUGCUCAGAUACUCGAGUCUUUUUACACGGCAAAAAAGGUGAUAAAAGAUUUGAGUCUUCGUUAUGAGAAAAAUUGUGCAUGCACUAACAAUUGAGUGUUAUUUUGGAAUGACAAUGCAAAGUUAAAUAAUUGCUUUGUGUGUGGAUCUUCAAGAUUGAAGAAUGUGCGAAAUGACUUAACUAAUAAGAUCACUAAAAUUCCGAUGAAGAUUUUAAGGUACUUUCCUUUAAAGCCUAGGCUUCAGAGGAUAUUCAUGUGUUCUAAAACAUAUAUAGCUAUGAGAUGGCAUGAUACUGAGCGACUCAAAGAUGGAAAUUUAAGACAUCCUGCUGAUGGAGAAGCUUGGAAGGAUUUUGAUUCCUUGCACCCUGACUUUGCAAAUGAUGCUCGUAAUGUUAGAUUGGGUCUUUCAAGUGAUGGAUUCAAUCCACUCCGAACUAUGAGCAUUUCCCAUAGUACGUGGCUGGUUACGUUAAUGAAUUAUAACCUAUCACCAUGGAUUUGCAUGAAGCCGGAGUAUAUAAUGUUGUCAUUCCAGGUCCAUCGUCUCCUGGAAAUGAUAUUGAUGUAUACUUACAAACACUGAUUGCGGAGUUGAAGGAACUAUGGGAAGUGGGAAUGAAAACAUAUGAUGUUGUAACUAACUAAACAUUUAUUAUGCGUGCAGCUUUAUUGUGGAAAGUUAGUGAUUUUCCAGCACUAGCAAUGCUUUCUGGAUUGAGUACCAAGGGGAGAUGGGCAUGUCCCACUUGUAAUCGUAAUACUUGUUUCCAAUAUCUCAAGUAUAGUCAUAAGAUGUGCUACAUGGGUCAUCGUGCAUUUUUUCCUCCUGAUCAUCCAUUUAGAAGAGAUAAAAAUUUAAUUGAUGGUAAAGAGGAGCAUAAAGCUGCACCUACUCCCUUAUCAGGUGUACAAGUGCUUGAAGAACUUUGUGAAUUCAAUAAUAUUUUUUGGAAAGAGCCAAAAACAAGAAAAUGAAAGAAUGAUGGCCCAUGGAAAAAAAAUCAUAUUUUUUGAAUUGCCAUAUUGGACAACCAACAAAUUGAGGCACAAUCUUGAUGUGAUGCACAUAGAGAAGAAUAUUUGUGAUGGUUUACUUGGGACUUUAUUGGAUAUACUUGGAAAGUCCAAAGAUCGCAUAAAUUCAUGCUAUGACUUGCAUGAGAUGGGGAUACACCAAGAGCUUCAACCAAUAGAAGAUUGUGAUACUGGAAACAUUCAUCUGGCUAAGGCUAGUUUCUCCAUGAAACCACAGGAGAAGAGAUUAUUUUACACUACUUUAAAAGAUGCCAAAUUAUCAAAAGGGUGUGCUUCUAAUAUAUCAAGUCGUGUGCAAAUUGAAGAGAUGAAAGUAUCAGUACACAAAAGCCAUGAUGCACAUUUCCUAAUGCAUUACUUGCUCCAAAUUGCAGUUAGGAAAGUGUUACCCAAGAAUGUGUCUUUGGUAUUGAUUAGGUUGGGAACCUUUUUAGAGCCAUAUGUAGUAAGGUUAUUAGAAGAAGCGAUCUUGAUAACAUGAAGGAUGAAAUCAUAGAUAUACAAUGUGAGCUUGAAAAGAUUUUUCCUCCAUCCUUUUUUGCUAUAAUGACACAUUUGCCUGUUCAUCUAGUAGAUGAAAUUAAGUUUGGGGGCCCGAAUCAUUUGCGUUGAAUAUAUCCUACUGAAAAAAAUAUGUGUAACUUCAAGGGGCUUCUUCAUAAUCGAAAAAAUCACGAAGGAUCAAUAGUAGUUGUAGAGUGUUUGACCUUUUUUUUGAGAUACCUACCUGAUGGGGUAAAGAUAAGAUUAAGUAGGUACCAAACUGAGGAUGAUGAUGACAUUCCAACAGAGGAAGAUAAUGUUUCACCUUUAUUUCCUAACACAGGUCAUCCAAUCAGAAGUAAGAAUAAAAGGAAAGGCAAGACUUUUGAUAUGGUGCAUCUUGAGUGCUCUGAAGCACAUCGAUAUGUUUUGCUCAGUACCAGAGAUGAACAAGUAGAUAAAUUAGUCAUGUAAGUUAAAAUAGUCAUUUGAUUUGGAAGUUCAUUUAUAUGUUAUGAUAAUGUGUUUUGAAUUUCAUUAAAUCAGUAUAAAUUGAUUAAAUUGCAAUACAUGCAUGCAGGGAAUAAAAGAAUAUAAUUGAUAAUCAUACUAGAGGAAAUGCAUGGGAAAAGCACAGAUCCAUAGUAAAGAAAUUGGCAAUUGGUUUAGGGACAAAGUUAAAAAUAUUGAAGUGUCCAAUCAUUUGUGAUGGCUAUCUAAAGGGCCUAAUUUUGUGGCUAAAAAAUAUAGUGGAUAUUUCAUUAAUGUAUAUCAACUUAAUACGAAGACAUGGGAUUCCUCUUGCAAGACUCAAAAUAGUGGAGUGACUUUGUCAGCAACAACGGAUAGUAUUGCUAGUGCUAGGGACCAAAAUUCUGUCAAUGAAAUGGUUAUCUAUUAUGGAAUUAUUUAGGAUAUCAUUGAGAUUGAUUAUUGGGGUUGUUUUAGUGUUGUGCUUUUCAAAUGUGACUGGUUUUAUAAUGAAUUUGAUCAAUAUGGCUUGACACGGUAUACUUCAACAAAACAUGUAGCACAAAUGAUUCUUUAGUGCUAGCUUCUCAAGUACAUCAAGUUUUCUAUGUGGAAGACCCAAUUGAGAAUAAUAUUUAUUAUGUAAGAAAUAAAGUCCCACUGGAUUUGUAUGAUUUGGAGGAAGAGAAUUUUCCUAAUAUUGAAGAAACAUUUUGGAAGGAGACUAAUGAUGAUAUUGGUUCAUCAGAAAGAUUACUCGAUGUAGAUAUUAGAUGGACGAGAGAAGAUCUCCCUAUUGAUAUCAUUGAUGUGCCUACCCUUUCACAUUCAUGAGAUAUAGCUAUCAAAGAAUCGGAAGAGGAGGAAGACUUUGAUGAUACUGAUUGGGAUUGGAUGGAGGCUGAUGAUUGACAAAGAAUCUUCAGAACUAGUUCAGAUACAUUCUCUUCUUCAUUAUUUUUGUACAUUCUUCUUUCUAAAUUUCUCUGAGGAAUCUUCAACUUUGCAGUGGACCAGCCAAACUCGAGGUUUUGAUCUCUUUAUUUCUGAUAUUCUGAUUUCUGCUCAUUUGCUGCUGCUAGAUGCUUAAUUUCUGCUUAUUUAUUGUGUAAUAUGUGUUUCCUAUAUAUGUUGGAACUAUAGUUAUAUUAGUUAUUAAGAUUCUGUAUUUAUUUCUUUGAUAUACUUCUCUUUGCAUCUUUCGGCAUUUUUCUAAAAUCUCAUUGGGUCCAUUGAAUAGCAGGCUCUAUAAAGAUAAAUUUUAAACUGUGAAUUCAUGUAUGGUGUGGAACUAAGAAUAGUAGUAACAUAAAUGAAUGUUGUGUAUCUGUUGAAGGUGUUGUAGCAAAGUUAGAUUUUCUGCAGGAAUAUCUUAGCAUCAUCAUUUCUACCAUGUUUGCAUAAUCCAUUAAUAAUAGAGCUAAUUAUUAUGACAUUUGGAUUCAAUCCCUUUUCUCUCAUCCCAAAAUAUGCUUUAAAAUCUUUCUCAGGUAAUCAUUCUUUAAACUAAUCAGCAAUAAGGGCUCCAUAUGUAACAAUGUUAGGGGUUAAUUCCCUAUCAUGCAUUUAACUAAAAAGAUGUUUGACUUUUCUAAACACUCCAGCCUUUAUAAAUCCACUAAUAAGGGAGUUAAAAUUUUCAAUCGAAGCAGGAAUAUUCUGCUGUUCCAUGACAUCCUUUAGUUUUAAAGCUUUUUCAAUCUCUCCUACUUUACAAUAUCCAUCACUUAGGGUCCUAUAAGAGAGUACUACAUCCAACUGCAUUCGGAAUAACACCUCUUUUAAGCAUAAAAUUCUAAAGAUGCAGAGCAUCAGCAAUGCGAUAUAAUCCUUUUAGCAAAGUGUUGUAAGUUACAUCUGUUGUAACUUUAUACUCACGUACUGAUUCAGCUAGAUCUAGCAAGAAGCUUUUGUUCAAAUUUUGUAUUUGUAUUGACACAUUGCAUGACCUCUUCUUGUUUGUUCUUCAAACUUUCAUUGCUUUUGUUAUUCAUAUUUGAAAAUUCUGCACGAAGGGGCAUCAUAUAAACACAAAAAUGAGGUAAGUGAUGGCUUGGGUUUACUGGAAAAAAAUGUGAGGAAGUUGAAGCAUUAUUUUGCCCAUGGAUCUUUGUUGUUGCUUCCUUUCCACCUGGAAUAUCCCUUAAGAGUAUAUUUUGUUUUUCAGUUCUCUGUCUCAUAUAAACGAUAUGAUUUUUAAACAGAGAGACAUAUGUGGUUUCAAAUUUUACUUAUAAAAGUGUGUGAUUUGUAAGAUCUCUGUGAUUCUGUUUAAGUGCAAGUGUACUCUGCCAGUCAUGAGUCAGCAAGAGUUUUCGAAAAAAAAAAAAAAGAAGAAGAUAUAUGCUAAACCUGGAUUGUUAUCAUUCUUUGGCAAAUAAAUAACGACGGUUAUUGAAAACAAAUGAAAUUGUUCAAGCUAUAGAGUCAGAGAAAGGACAACUGCUUAAAUUAAUUGAUAAAAAACAACCAGUAGCACCACAAUCUAAAGUAAAUGGACAAUCUGCCGAGGAGCAGCCUUUUGAGCAGCAACCUGUUGAGGAUCAAGUGCAAAUAAAUUCUCUCACUCCUCCAACAGAUGAACAACCUGAAGAACAAGGUAGCAUAUAAGCUUAGAAACUUACUAAAUUUAUCCAUGAUUUCUAAUUUAUUAUAUUUUCUUUUAGCUGAAGGCAUUUCCACUCAAAAUAAAAGAGGUAAAACGCAAAUGCAUAAAGUACAUAGCCGAAAAGAGCAGUCCUAUCACUUACCUGGGGUGUCCUCUCUACAUUGGCAGGCAAAAAGUCAUCUACUACUUAGAGCUUACUGCUAAAGUUGUAGCUAGGAUUACAGGUUGACAAGCCAAAAUUCUCAGUUAUGGAGGAAGGGUUACACCUAUUAAACAUGUAAUUCAAGCCCUUCCUAUCCAUUUGCUUUCAGCUGUUUCUCCACCAUUAACUACCAUCAAGAAAAUUCAAAGUAUCACAGAAAACUUCUUCUGGGGAUAGAAAAAUGACAAGAGGAGAUACCAUUGAUCCUCUUGGAUGAAUCUAAGUUAUCCAUAUGAUGAAGGAGGUAUUGGUGUGAGACAAAUUUCAGAUGUGGCUAAAUCUUUCCAAUACAAACAGUGGUGGAACUUCAGAACUAAGAACACUUUAUGGGGUAAGUUCCUCAAAGCCAAGUAUUGUCAAAGGUAUAAUCCUACCACAAAAAAGGACAUACUGGACAAUCACUGGUCUGGAAACAUUUGAUGAAGAACAAGCACAAAGUUGAACCUCAUAUCCAAUGGCAAAUCCAGUCUGGUUCAUGACUCUUUUGGUGGGAUAAUUGGUUGGGAAUUGGACCAUUAGCAAACUACAGAUCUGCAAGUACCAGAAUGAACAACACUAAGGUCUCUUCUUUCUUGAUCAAUGGCCAAUGGAAUGUAGACCUGGUUAUUAAAGAAGCUCCUUCUCAGUUUGUUUCUAACAUUAUGGGAACUCCCAUAAAUUAUCACCCUCACAAGCCUGAUCAAGCAUCCUGGACACACAACAGCAGUGGGGAGUUUAGCUUCUCCUCUGCAUGGGAUCUUAUCAGGGACAAUAGGAAUAAGACAAGGAUCAAUUCUCAAACUUGGCACAAGCACAUACCUUUUAAAUGCUCUUUUCUGCUAUGGAGAGCACUUAGAGGGAAGCUACCAACCAAUGAGAAUCUCAUCAGCUUUGGAAAGUCCCCAUUUCAAUGCUACUGCUGCUACAAAUCUGGCCAGGACACCAUUGAUCAUGUUUUUGUUUCUAGACACUUUGCCAAGAAGACUUGGAGUGCAUUUGAAGACUUCCUGGGAAUAAACAAGGACUACACACCUCUUAGAAACUUAUUAAUGAGGUGGUGGUCGACCAAAUACAAGAAUGAUGUUCACAAGCUUAUCCUCCAAUCCAUCCCCAUCUUCAUAUGUUGGAACCUAUGGAAGAAUAGACGUGAUGUCAAAUAUGGUGGGAAACAAUCUAAUCUUGCAAGAGUGAUGUACUUAGUGUUCAAAGAGACAUCCAAUUUACUGAGAACUGCAUAGCCCUACAUCAGUUGGCCUACUAACUGGAAGGAACUGGUCCUUCUUGUGGACAAAUGCACUAAUGAAGUCAAAGUUAGCACUGUCUAUUGGAGGAAACCAUCAGCUCACAUGGUGAAGUUGAACACUGAUGGCAGUACACUCCACAAUCCUGGAAACAUAGGUUGAGGAGGACUGCUCAGAAACUCUCAAGGUGACCUUAUCUUUGCCUUUGCAGUCCCUUUUGGAGAAGGCACAAACAACCAGUCUGAGAUGCUGGCAGUCAUCUUUGGCUUAUCUUGGUGUCUUCAUUUUGGGUAUACAAAUGUGACCCUAGAAGUAGACUCUGAGUUACUAAUCAGAUGGCUAAAACAUCUAGCAAACCCCCCAUGGUCUGUCAAGGAACAUCUUCAGAAGCUGCAAAACAUCAGCUACUAAUUCCAUGUCUUCAGGUGUACCCACACAUAUAGAGAAGCCAACUUUACAGCUGAUACUUUGUCCAAACACAGACACAAAUGCUCUUCUCCACAGAUCUACCUUACUAAUCAAGAACUUCCCAAAGAAUAAAGAUCAUAUUUUGAAUUAGACAAACUGGAAAUGGCUAACUUUAGAAGAAGAAGACUCAAGAGGAUCAAGAAACCACCAUGAGCUCUCCAAUUCUUGAUGUACUGCUUGUUCUUUAUAUUGGCUGUUUAUAGCCUUUUGAAGAACUUAGAGUUAGGAUUAUAUUGUAAAGGGGAGAGUCUCCCUCAUUUAUUGCUUUCCUAAACUAACCAACUUACCACUAGAGGUAAGGACUAGAGUAGGUUCUUCUUCUUCUUUUCUGUUGCGUAGGUACAUUGCAGACCUGCAACAUUUGAUCCAACACAUGGACUUCCCUCCUUGUUUGCUUCUUUUGUGCAGGUACACUGCAGAGUUGCAGCAACUGAUCCAAUUCAUGGAGUUCUUCCAUUCCAAAGGGAGCACUGCAUGGUGUAGCCACCAGGAACAGCACUCAGCAACAACCUGCAACACCCUACUGUGGAGAAUACCAUGGUCUUCUAUCUUGAGCUUGGCAUUUGGAUGCCUUUGGUAGGUAUACUGCAGAGUUGCAGAUAGUUUCUAUGUUCCUCUCUUGUGCAGGUACUGCAGAACUGCAGCAUCCAACAACAAGUCUAUCAAAGCUGCAGUAGUGGAACUAAUCUUGGAGUUCUUCCAAUGUGCAUUCAUAAAAGCAACCCCAUGCAGAUACCACUCAUGUACACUGCAGGCCACAACACCUGAUCCAAUUCAUGGAGUGCUUCCAAUGCAAACAUUAUCCAAAGCUUAUUUCAAGUUAUUUAAGUACUACCAUAUACUUGAGUACACACAACCAAGUUACCUUGAGUUAGACAAACAAGGGAUGGCAAGAGUUAGAAGAACAAUGCAAACAUGUCUCCAAGAUGAUCAAGACACCAACAUGAGCUCCCAUACUUGAUGUGUUACUGAUUCUUCACAUUGGCUCUCUCUAUUAGUUAGUUAUAUCUCUUUUGAAGAUCUUGUAAUUAGCACUAUUUUGUAAAGGGAGAGUCUCCCUCGUUUAUCGCUUUCCAAGAUAUGUUGAAUUGAGAGGAGUCCUCUCAUAGGGUUUUUCUCUUUUCUUGUAAUUAGGAGGCACAUUAUUGUAUCGGGGAUGAGUUAGCCGACUCAUGAACCAACUUAAGAAUGGAGGUAAGGUUUAUGUCCCCCUCCUUGUAUUUUUCUAUUUUUUAUUUAUAAUAAGGCUUGGGGGUAUGCGGCUCAACCCCUGACCACCACGAGGGAUGAGAUCCUUGGGUAAGGUCUGUUCUCCAAAAAAAAAAAAAAAGAAAAGAAAA